rnacentral:rRNA from 1 species
AGGAAUAUUGGUCAAUGGGCGCAAGCCUGAACCAGCCAAGUAGCGUGAGGGAAGACUGCCCUAUGGGUUGUAAACCUCUUUUGUGCGGGGAUAAAGUGUGGGACGUGUCCCAUAUUGCAGGUACCGCACGAAUAAGGACCGGCUAAUUCCGUGCCAGCAGCCGCGGUAAUACGGAAGGUCCGGGCGUUAUCCGGAUUUAUUGGGUUUAAAGGGAGCGCAGGCCGUCCUUUAAGCGUGCUGUGAAAUGCCGCGGCUCAACCGUGGCACUGCAGCGCGAACUGGAGGACUUGAGUACGCACGAGGUAGGCGGAAUUCGUGGUGUAGCGGUGAAAUGCUUAGAUAUCACGAAGAACUCCGAUUGCGAAGGCAGCUUACCGGAGCGCAACUGACGCUGAGGCUCGAAAGCGCGGGUAUCGAACAGGAUUAGAUACCCUGGUAGUCCGCGCGGUAAACGAUGGAUGCCCGCCGUUGGGUUUUAGAAUUCAGCGGCCAAGCGAAAGCGUUAAGCAUCCCACCUGGGGAGUACGCCGGCAACGGUGAAACUCAAAGGAAUUGACGGGGGCCCGCACAAGCGGAGGAACAUGUGGUUUAAUUCGAUGAUACGCGAGGAACCUUACCCGGGCUUGAAUUGCAGGAGAACGAUCCAGAGAUGGUGAGGCCCUUCGGGGCUCCUGUGAAGGUGCUGCAUGGUUGUCGUCAGCUCGUGCCGUGAGGUGUCGGCUCAAGUGCCAUAACGAGCGCAACCCCUGUCCAUAGUUGCCAUCAGGUCGUGCUGGGCACUCUGUGGAGACUGCCGCCGUAAGGUGUGAGGAAGGUGGGGAUGACGUCAAAUCAGCACGGCCCUUACGUCCGGGGCUACACACGUGUUACAAUGGGGCAUACAGCGAGUUGGAUGUGCGCAAGUACGUCCGGAUCAAUAAAGUGCCUCUCAGUUCGGACUGGGGUCUGCAACCCGACCCCACGAAGCUGGAUUCGCUAGUAAUCGCGCAUCAGCCAUGGCGCGGUGAAUACGUUCCCG